rnacentral:lncRNA from 1 species
GAUUGCAGUUUAUUGUCUGGUGCACACAGAGUCCCAGAAUUAUAUACAUACAUAUAUAUAAAAAAAAUGGUGAAAACAAAAAAAAAUGGUGAAAACAAAAACAAACAAACAAAAUUAACGUCCACUUGCAGAAAGGAGAUAUACAGGUUUUAUUCUGAGCCGAGGAUCACCCUUAGCAAAUAUAUAAGUUUACAUUGAGAUUUAACUCAGUUGGGUCCCCAGCAUGCCUUGAGGCGAGCCAGAGAAACUGUGUUUAACAGUUCUAGAUAACCCUAAUCUAGCCUGUUAUGCAGUAUCCAGUGCUGUCGUUAUUCGUAAACCUUAUAAAGGAAUACAGUUAAUGUGUUGGAAAAAGAUGAGUUGCGCCAUGACUUAAGUUGCUUACAAGAUUGUUAACUUCCAUCAUGAUGCAGCACAUGAGCUUUGAGAUUUACUUAAAAAAAAAAUUAUUCAUAUUAACAUACACACAUGCUGAGCUUGCACAUACAUGCAUAUACACUACUGAGAAUACUCAUGUGUGUGCAAGUGCCAAGUAUUAGUAUAUGUGAAUGUGCUAGUGAAGUAUGUAGGUCUGUGUAUGAGAGUAUUCAUAUACGUGCAGGUGCUCAAUACCAGUAUAGUAAGUGCAAGUUACUUUUGUAUUUACGGUCUAGACUGAGAAAAGUCACGAGAGAGCAGCACCUUCUAUGUGAAACUAUUGUUUGAAUAUGACUGAACUGGUCUGGAAACCUGAUACUUGAAUGUAGUGUUCCAACAUUGGGGAUAUUUUUGAGGCAAAGUCACAGGUACAGGAACCAGGGUCGGUUUUCUCUCAGAAAAGUGACAGUUGUUAAAUACUCCUCCUCUCACAUCCUGAUGCAGACAGAGAGAGAGAGAGAGAGAGAGAGAGAGAGAGAGAGAGAGAGAGAGAGAGAGAGAGAAGUCAGACAGACAGACAGACGGACAUGUCAGAUGAGUUUACUCCUCAAAAUCCAGCAGACGCACAGCAGGGAGUUAUCCUCAGACAAUGAGCCUGAACGUCCCAGGAGUGGUGGUGAUGGUGUUCUUCUACCUGCUGGUGCUGGGGACCGGCAUCUGGGCCUCCAUGAAGUCCAAGCGGGUGAAGACGAGCAGCCAGGCAAACCAGACAGAGGUCAGUCUGCUGGGCAACAGAGGGAUAAGCCUUGCGGUGGGAGUAUUCACCAUGACAGGUGAGUGUGUGAUGGAGGCGGUAGUUUCAGGUAACUUCCUUAUUUUUUAAAUCAAAGAUAAUGUGACAAUGAGGCACAGUGUGGCGCCCUUGGAAUCCAUUGUGAUGCCUAUAAUAGUUUUUCACACAGUUUUAUAUACGUCAAGUUGUAGCACAUUAAGAACCAGAAUCACUGGUCUGGGAUGUUGAAGGUCUUAUUGAUAACAUUUUUAUGAAGACAAAUCAUUAAAAAAAAAGAAAAAAAAAGAAUAUGUCUAAAGAGCUUGUAGAAAGGUGCAUUUAUUUUCCUUAAAAACAUUAUUGUGACUGUGAGUCAAUAAUUUAAAACAUUUUGCAGGUUCAAAAAUGUUUUGUUUACCUGUGUGUAAGAAUUUGGACAGUUGGUCCCGGCUUCCAACAAGGUUUGAGAGCCAAUCGUAUAAUGUUUGGUAAUGUCGGCAACAUCCACGUCAGCUGUCUAGCGUUAAUACUGUAAUGUUUGCCUGCUAGCAUUAGCAACAAACUGGGAACAACUUCAGUAUGUUAGAACACAUCUGCACCUUUUUAUUGACCUUCAUUAGUAAGUCGACAGGUUUGUAAAGAAAUGCUGCAAUAAAAUUAAAAUCUCACAAGCAGACCCUCACCUGUGCGGUCACAACAUCCUUUUGAUGUUUCUCUCAAUUUUUCAAUCUUUAAUGCACCAAACAGAACAGUGCUAUCAUCAUCAGAUUUACUUUUUCAUUUAUUUCUUUCUUUGGGAUAUGUUUAGAGUAUAUACGUGGAGGUGUGUGUAUGUGGAUGUUGCUUACUCAUGCUUCCUACAGCUACAUUUGUUGGAGGGGGCUUCAUCGUCGGUCUGGCAGAGGCGGUGUACACUCCAACCAUGGGACUGACCUGGGCUUUCUCUCCAGUUACACCUGCUACUUCUUUCAUUGUUGGUAGGACAUUUCUUUUUUCCUCUAAUUGUCAUACUGAAUAUCAUAACUUUUCUAAACAAAACUUUAAAAUGAAUAAAUAAAGGUCUAACAAAGCAUAGCAUUUUGUAUAAGUUACAAUAUGCAUGGCUGUAAAACAGAGUAGUAGAAGAAGAAGAAGAAGAGGUGGUGUGAAGGAAUUUCCCUCCUCAUUUAGUGACCUUCUUCUGCUCUGUAUCUGUAAGCUUGGCAAAGCUGUAUUAAUAAAUCUGAAGCAAAAACAGCCCUAUUUCCAUGGAAACCAAGGUUUAGAGUAAAGCUAUCAGGAGAUACAGUUAUCACUGAAGCAACACAUCUCAGGUUCGACUGAUUGUUUUGUCUUUGCACAGAAUGCAUGUGCGUCAUCCCAAAAACAUACAGUAUCACCAAGGUUAACCAAGCUCACUCUUCAGAAAACAUGGACAGCGAUGGGUUAAAGAGACCACUGAUCGGGUACCUCAUCAGAAUGGUAUUGGCUGGCACACUGUACACUGUGGUCUCUAUUAUUCCUCUUGAUCUAGCCUGUCAAUAAAUGCUGCUUCUAAAGACACCAGGGCCCGUAUUCACAAAGACUUUUAUCUUAAUGUUAGGAGUACUCCUAAAUCGGACUUUUUAUGUUGGAGUCGUUUCUUAAAAGUAAUUCACAAAGCCGCUGAGACCUACUUUCAGUUAUGAAAACAUUGAACUCCUAAACUCGAAGUAACUCUCUGUUGCUAUGGAUGACGUCAUUUUAUAAGGAUGCACUUAGAAGUGGUGACAACGGUGAUUGGUUGUUGAGUGACAGGGCAGCCCAUUGAAAAGUUGCAUAGGCUACACAAUGCAUUAAGUGAAAAUAAGGAAGUCGCCUUCAAGCCCAUGACAAAGCCUAUGAAUAGAUAUUGGAUAAAGAAAUGUAUUUAUGAGGAGAAUUAAGUGCCGCACUUUUUACUUUGUAAAAAGUAACGCACUGCAAAUUUCCUACCAUAUUUCACCAAACACAGAAGUCAUGUGAUAAUAUUAGUCCCAUGCGAAUCGGCAUCUCUGUGAUUUGGGGUCGUUUUUUGUUUUUCUUAAGGUUUUUUGUGUUUUUCAUGUCUUUUUUCUGCCUUUUUCCCGGUUGAGAAUUAUGGAGGCUGCUUUAGGAAUUAUGAAUGAAAGUUUCGACAGCAUUUUGGGCGCAAAUUCAGGAGGCUCAUCAGAAGAGCGAAAUCUCGAAAGAUGAUUAGAUGGAUUACAUGUAUGGCAGCAUGCGGUAAGGAACAUUCUUCCAUCUUUCAACAGGCUCGGUUAUUAUAUUAAAAAUAUCCAUAUCUAACCGUUGUGCUGCUCCAGUAAGGGCUCUG